AACGAACGCUGGCGGCAUGCCUAACACAUGCAAGUCGAACGAGACCUUCGGGUCUAGUGGCGCACGGGUGCGUAACGCGUGGGAACCUGCCUUUAGGUUCGGAAUAACUCAGAGAAAUUUGAGCUAAUACCGGAUGAUGUCUUCGGACCAAAGAUUUAUCGCCUUUAGAUGGGCCCGCGUUGGAUUAGCUAGUUGGUGGGGUAAAGGCCUACCAAGGCGACGAUCCAUAGCUGGUCUGAGAGGAUGAUCAGCCACACUGGGACUGAGACACGGCCCAGACCCCUGCGGGAGGGGGAGGGGGGGAAUAUUGAAAAAGGGGGGAAUCCCUAACCCAGCAAUGCCGGGGGAGGGAAGAGGGCUUUAGGGUUGAAAGGCUCUUUCACCCGAGAUGAUAAUGACAGUAGCGGAAAAAAAGCCCCCGGCAAACCCCGUC
rnacentral:rRNA from 1 species